UACAGAGGUCCCAAGCGUUGUUCGGAUUCAUUGGGCGUAAAGGGCGCGUAGGCGGUAUGGUAAGUCAGAUGUGAAAUCCCGUAGCUUAACUACGGAACUGCAUUUGAUACUGCCGUGCUAGAAGGUUGGAGGGGAGACUGGAAUUUGCGGUGUAGCAGUGAAAUGCGUAGAUAUCGCAAGGAACACCUGUGGCGAAGGCGGGUCUCUGGACAACACUUGACGCUGAGGCGCGAAAGCUAGGGGAGCAAACGGG
rnacentral:rRNA from 1 species